GAUGAACGCUAGCGGCAGGCUUAAUACAUGCAAGUCGAGGGGCAGCGGGAGUAGCAAUACUUGCCGGCGACCGGCGCACGGGUGCGUAACACGUAUGUAAUCUGCCCAUCACAGGAGGAUAGCCCGGAGAAAUUCGGAUUAAUACUCCAUAAUAAAUUGAGUGGCAUCACUUGAUUUUGAAAGUUCCGACGGUGAUGGAUGAACAUGCGACUGAUUAGUUAGUUGGUGAGGUAACGGCUCACCAAGACCACGAUCAGUAGGGGUACUGAGAGGUUAAACCCCCACACUGGUACUGAGACACGGACCAGACUCCUACGGGAGGCAGCAGUAAGGAAUAUUGGACAAUGGCCGCAAGGCUGAUCCAGCCAUGCCGCGUGCAGGAAGACGGACCUAUGGUUUGUAAACUGCUUUUGAACUAGAGAAAACCCCUUUACGUGUAAAGGGCUGAUAGUAUAGUUAGAAUAAGCAUCGGCUAACUUCGUGCCAGCCGCCGCUGUAAGAC
rnacentral:rRNA from 1 species